UUACCUACCAUAAAAUAUUCAGGUGAACCUUUUUUAUGCAAAAUGGACAGAGAGUCUUAGCCUAAAACACCUAAGUAUUAUUUAAAUGUCUUAUGCUUCUUUUAGAUGAGUCAAAAAAUAUAUCCUUGAUUCUGAACUUAUUAGAGCCAUAUGGCCAAUCAUAAAAAGAAUACGCCUCUCUCAACACUUUCACUGAGGAGGAGCAGGUUGAGGAGCGCGGAUCCAGGCUAGCCCUCUUGGGCAAGCCAGGCAGUCUGUUCAGGAAACAUCUCUUUAAAAAUAGCAGCAAGAGUUUCCCUUUUCAUUUAGACGUUGGUUUACCUAUCCUCCACUAACAGCCUGUUAAAAUACCAUCCCAGUGACUGACAUAUUUGCAAAAAUUAUUGUAGUUCUCAGCCUCGUGGGAGGCCCCAACUGAGAAAGCAAUAUGUGGCUAUCUUCGAGGUAAAGCCUUAACUCGAAUCUCAGACCCAACGCUGGAAGAUGCCACGCACCCCAGAAAUAGAGUGUGGCCCUUCUAGGAAGUGCCGUUUCCUGCCUAGAUCCUUUUCUCUCACCUGAAAGAACCAGAACAGCCCAGGGAGAAAGGGCUGCUGGUCCUGCAGGGUGUCUCCUACCUCAUGACCUCAUUACGUGCCUGUCCCCAAAGCUGAGUCACUUUGCUCCUGAUUCCCAGAUUCUGGCCUGUGUUUUCUUCAUCAGGUUUAUCUUGAUGCCUGUCAUGCAGUAUUCCUUGAAAGUCAGCAUCCCUCAAAUUCCUGUCAUUCCCAGGAGACAUGGACUGUGUUUCAACAAUCUCAGAUACCUUUUAUGAUGUGGAAGGCAGGAGAAAGCAUGGCUCAUUGACACACUGCUGUGUCCUGUUUUUGUCUGGGUGGUGCAACCUUUGACAGAGUAGUGGAUCUGGGCCAUAUGGGAGAGACCACCACAACUGCCCAAUGGGAGUGUCACAAUUCCCUGAGCUAUGGGAGCCAGGCUGCCCCGGAAUGUAGACUCGGACCCGGAGCUGAUGUCACAAUCACAGAGUUCACUAUUCAGUGAAUGCAGGAUUCCUAAGUUUCCAUCAGGGUUGAGGCACUGCACAGAGACUCCGAGAAUAAACCAUGCAACAGAGGCACAGCUGUUCGCUGAGCCUACCCUGCAAUGGAGGACCAAAACAUCUGAAGCCAAAACAAGUUGUUAUUCACGCCGCUGGCUAAUGAAAUUAAACAGAGCAAUCAGCCCAUCCAGAGCUUGGAGGUUCUAGAGCAUCAGGACAGGCAGAAAAAUGGAAGAAAAACUUAAAGAAUGUGUGGAUUUCAGCUCUGCACCACCACAGGACAGCAGUAUCGUGAGGCAAGUGCUUUCUGGAGCACUUCGUACAUCUCAAGUUCAUGAUACAUAUUAAUUAAUUGUGACAUUUGUGUUUUAAAUUAAAAAUAAAUAUAGUAGA
rnacentral:lncRNA from 1 species